UGUACAUUAUACUAACAAGCCAUGAUAUUAUGUAUAUAUCAUAUUUUAAUUAUCCAUACAUAAUUGCACUAUCAUUCAUAAUAAUAUCACAAAAAUCAUCUUUUAUUAUAAACUUAUAAUCAAGUUUGACCAAAAGAUCUACAGAGAUGACAUUCAUUAUAAAAGAGGGACAAUAAUGACAAUCAUCUAACAUGACAUUACUGGACUCGA
rnacentral:lncRNA from 1 species